AGUGGCUUCCGGAGCUAACGCGUUAAGUCGACCGCCUGGGGAGUACGGCCGCAAGGUUAAAACUCAAAUGAAUUGACGGGGGCCCGCACAAGCGGUGGAGCAUGUGGUUUAAUUCGAUGCAACGCGAAGAACCUUACCUACUCUUGACAUCCACGGAAUUUAGCAGAGAUGCUUUAGUGCCUUCGGGAACCGUGAGAUAGGUGCUGCAUGGCUGUCGUCAGCUCGUGUUGUGAAAUGUUGGGUUAAGUCCCGCAACGAGCGCAACCCUUAUCCUUUGUUGCCAGCGGUUCGGCCGGGAACUCAAAGGAGACUGCCAGUGAUAAACUGGAGGAAGGUGGGGAUGACGUCAAGUCAUCAUGGCCCUUACGAGUAGGGCUACACACGUGCUACAAUGGCAUAUACAAAGAGAAGCGACCUCGCGAGAGCAAGCGGACCUCAUAAAGUAUGUCGUAGUCCGGAUUGGAGUCUGCAACUCGACUCCAUGAAGUCGGAAUCGCUAGUAAUCGUAGAUCAGAAUGGUACGGUGAAUACGUUCCCGGGCCUUGUACACA
rnacentral:rRNA from 1 species